GACGUAGGGCGCGAGCGUUGUCCGGAUUUAUUGGGCGUAAAGAGCUCGUAGGCGGCUUGUCGCGUCGUCCGUGAAAACUUGGGGCUCAACCCCAAGCUUGCGGUCGAUACGGGCAGGCUAGAGUUCGGUAGGGGAGACUGGAAUUCCUGGUGUAGCGGUGAAAUGCGCAGAUAUCAGGAGGAACACCGGUGGCGAAGGCGGGUCUCUGGGUAGUAACUGACGCUGAGGAACGAAAGCGUGGGUAGCGAACAGG
rnacentral:rRNA from 1 species